ACUCCUACGGGAGGCAGCAGUGGGGAAUAUUGGACAAUGGGGGCAACCCUGAUCCAGCCAUGCCGCGUGUGUGAAGAAGGCUUUCGGGUUGUAAAGCACUUUCAGCGAGGAGGAAGGCCUUAAAGUUAAUACCUUUAAGGAUUGACGUUACUCGCAGAAGAAGCACCGGCUAACUCCGUGCCAGCAGCCGCGGUAAUACGGAGGGUGCGAGCGUUAAUCGGAAUUACUGGGCGUAAAGCGCGCGUAGGCGGCGUGAUAAGCCGGUUGUGAAAGCCCCGGGCUCAACCUGGGAACGGCAUCCGGAACUGUCAGGCUAGAGUGCAGGAGAGGAAGGUAGAAUUCCCGGUGUAGCGGUGAAAUGCGUAGAGAUCGGGAGGAAUACCAGUGGCGAAGGCGGCCUUCUGGACUGACACUGACGCUGAGGUGCGAAAGCGUGGGUAGCAAACAGGAUUAGAUACCCUGGUAGUCCACGCCGUAAACGAUGUCGACUAGCCGUUGGGGUCCUUGAGACCUUUGUGGCGCGGUUAACGCGAUAAGUCGACCGCCUGGGGAGUACGGCCGCAAGGUUAAAACUCAAAGGAAUUGACGG
rnacentral:rRNA from 1 species